GCGAAAAUGGCGGAAUUGGUAGACGCACUGGAUUUAGGUUCCAGCGGAGUAAUCCGUGAGAGUUCGAGUCUCUCUUUUCGCACCA
rnacentral:tRNA from 1 species